rnacentral:lncRNA from 1 species
UUUCGAGUAUUAAGUGUGUCAAGUUAUUUGGGUAGUUUGUGAUUGACAACAUAAGCGACUCACUUAUAUAUGGAUUUUAAUUUAACCAGCGAUCCCACUGGAAUUUUAUACAAAAAGUAAGUUUUCGAUUCCGUCCAGUGGUACACUUUUGAGAGGCAUUAUUUGCGUAAGUUGUCUUUAAAAGUAUGCAUAUGAUCCUUAUCUCGGUCAAUAUUUUGUACUUAAAAUAAUCAAUAUGACAUUCACGUUUAUUAUCACAAAAACUUAAGCAUUGAGCUCAGUUUUUAUUUUUAAAAAAAUUAAAUGAAAAUAUUUAUUGCUAUGAUUCCAUGUCUAGUUUUUUGAAAGUACCAAACCACAUCUUG